rnacentral:rRNA from 1 species
UACGGAGGGUGCGAGCGUUGUCCGGAAUCACUGGGCGUAAAGGGCGCGUAGGCGGCUUGUUAAGUGGCUGGUGAAAUCCCGGGGCUCAACUCCGGGGCUGCCGGUCAUACUGGCGAGCUCGAGCACGGUAGAGGCGGAUGGAAUUCCCGGUGUAGCGGUGGAAUGCGUAGAGAUCGGGAAGAAUACCGGUGGCGAAGGCGUUCCGCUGGGCCGUUGCUGACGCUGAGGCGCGACAGCGUGGGGAGCAAACAGG